ensembl:lncRNA uncharacterized LOC110090959
UUCUUUUUAGAUUGCACAGGAAUAGAAGCCCAUUUUAUUCUUCUAGGGCCCUGCAGAUACGUUAGCCCAAACAGUGUCCUUUUGAAAUUGGAAGAGCCCUCCUUAUCUUCAAAUUCCUGUUUCUUCCUCUUCCUGUUCCAUUCCUACCAAACUGACCAAAAUAUAUCAUACCACAACUGGUGUAUGACUCAUAAUGUUCUCUUUGUGUUUAGAAGGUUUGUUGUUGUUGUUUAGUCAUGUCCGACUCUUUGUGACCCCAUGGACCAGAACACGCCGGGCCCUCCUGUCUUCCACUGCCUCCCGGAGUUGGGUCAAAUUCAUGUUGGUCGCUUCGAUGACACUGUCCAACCAUCUCAUCCUCUGUCGUCCCCUUCUCUUGCCUUCACACUUUCCCAACAUCAGGGUCUUUUCCAGGGAGUCUUCUCCCUUGGUGUUAUUACACAACUUCAUACGAUUUAGAAACCCCUCAUUUGUGUCCCACUCCUCUGGUACCCCUUCAUUAGAUGUGGGAAACAUACUGAUGUUGGAUGUACUGUUUUCCCCCAUAAUGAGACCAACAAUUUGCUAUGUUUAGAUCCAACAUCCACAUCCCUUCCAGCAUCUCUGUUGGGUAAGCUGCCACCUAUUGAUAGAAGGUCAUGCAAAAAGCUGGACUGGACUGGAGGAAUCCCAAGCCGGAAUUAAGAAUGCCGGAAGAAAUAUCAACAGCCUCCGAUAUGCAGAUGAUACCACUCUGAUCGCAGAAAGUGAGGAGGAAUUAAGGAACCUUGUAAAUGAGGGUGGAAGAGGAGAGUGCAAAAAAUGGUCUGAAGCUCAAAACCACGACAGAGGGAGAUAACGUUUCCGGAUGAACCAUUUUCCUGCCUUCCCCUUGCCCAAGAAACAUUUGCCGUUGUCAAAACAAAUGGCAGAGGGAGCUGGGAAGAUGGAGCUUCAUCUACUGAGCAUGCUGAUGCAACUAUUCAUCUUGAGGACCGGGCAAGCUCUCAUGACAAAGAUUGUUUGUGCAUCUGGAGAACAAACCUCACUUCCCUGCGAAGUCUCAAGCUCCCAUACACGUUGGUUCUGGUUCCCCUUGAAUCCCACAUGUGCUAACAUAAGUGGGAAUUGGGUGGAGAUAGCCCAGAAUCAUACCACACAUGAAGUGACUCCUCUUCGGUUCAACCAGCGCCUGACAUUCUACAAUCAAAAAUCAUUGCUUCUCAGGAAUCUGGUCAUGAGCGAUGCUGGUAUCUAUCUGUGCCGCCUCCCCAAUGGCUCAGAAACUCACACUGAACUGCAGGUGGACCCAGGCUGCCACAACAACCUGCUUGUCUCCUAUGAGUGGCUUCAUCCUUCUUUGUUGAAACUCAGUUGCCAUCACUGCAUUUUCCAGAGGAGGACAGACUCUUUCCGCUGGGUGGUGAAUUCAAAGCCACUGGGGAACCGACGCUGGGCUAAGAAGAGCAACCAUGGGUCUACCGUCAUGCUACAUCCCUUCCGGCAAACCGUUUGGGGCCGCUGGGAGUGUCAUUCCCUCGAUUACACUUCCUGGGUCUCUGAAAUUUGUUUGGUUGCGCCCAUCAGAUACAUGGAAGCAGGAAACACCAAGAAAGAAAGAAAUGGACAGAUCCAACCAGACAGAAGGAAAUAAUGAAAAAGGAGAAUCUGGAUGAGGUAAGUAUCACCUGGGCAUCCCUCAGGUGGGUCGUGUCUGGCAUAACGCUGGGCUUCUUAACUCCCUGUUCAGAUCUUCUCUCCUUGUGGUUCCUCCUUCCAGAGACCUGCUUCCCUUUAUUAUGCUCAACUACAACAUCCCCGAAGGAAAUCCACCAGCAUUCGAACCGCAGACAGCUCCACGGUGUAUGCAGUCAUCGUCUGACACCAUUUCCAUCAUUUUUCACUCAUGCCUUAAGAGGGAGAGGGAGAGAGAGAGAUACACACACUAUUUCAUGACCUACAAACACUGCUCUGUAAAGUACUAGAAGAUUAUAGUAGACUUUCUACAUAUUUCCAUCUCUAAAUGUUUGGCUCAAACGAGAUGUUAGCGGAAUGCUGAUUCUGUUUGAUUACCCCUUUUCCUCUCCCACAAUAGCAUCUCAACACAGACAAUGAGACUUGCAAAAUAAACUUGUUUGUACUUUCCA